rnacentral:rRNA from 1 species
GACGAACGCUGGCGGCGUGCCUAACACAUGCAAGUCGAACGGAAAGGCCUCUUUCGGGGGGUACUCGAGUGGCGAACGGGUGAGUAACACGUGAGUAACCUGCCCUUGACUUUGGGAUAACUUCAGGAAACUGGGGCUAAUACCGGAUAGGAGCUCCUGCUGCAUGGUGGGGGUUGGAAAGUUUCGGCGGUUGGGGAUGGACUCGCGGCUUAUCAGCUUGUUGGUGGGGUAGUGGCUUACCAAGGCUUUGACGGGUAGCCGGCCUGAGAGGGUGACCGGCCACUUUGGGCCUGGGAUACGCCCCAGCCCCCACCGGGGGGCGGCGGUGGGGAUUUUUUCCCGAGGGGGGGGAGCCUGUUGCGGCAACCCCGUGUGGGGGGUGCCGGCCUUCGGGUUGUAACCCCCUUUCCCCUUUGCCGAGGCUUUUUUGACGGGAGGUGGGUAAAAAGCCCCCGCUAACCUCCUG